rnacentral:rRNA from 1 species
UACAGAGACUGCAAGCGUUAUUCGGAUUCACUGGGCGUAAAGGGUGCGCAGGUGGCCGUGUGUGACAGAUGUGAAAUCCCGGGGCUUAACUCCGGAACUGCGUCUGAAACUACACGGCUAGAGCAUUGGAGAGGGUAGUGGAAUUCACGGUGUAGCAGUGAAAUGCGUAGAUAUCGUGAGGAACACCAGAGGCGAAGGCGACUACCUGGACAAUAGCUGACACUCAGGCACGAAAGCGUGGGGAGCCAAAGGG